UACGAAGGGGGCUAGCGUUGUUCGGAAUCACUGGGCGUAAAGCGCACGUAGGCGGAUUUUUAAGUCAGGGGUGAAAUCCCGAGGCUCAACCCGAUCGACUCGUCUUGAUACUGGGGAUCUGGAGUCCGGGAGAGGUGAGCGGAAUUGCGAGUGUAGAGGUGAAAUUCGUAGAUAUUCGCAGGAACACCAGUGGCGAAGGCGGCUUACUGGUCCAUAACUGACGCUGAGGUGGCGAAAGCGUGGGGAGCAACAGG
rnacentral:rRNA from 1 species